rnacentral:rRNA from 1 species
CAUGCCGUAAACGAUGAUUACUAGGUGUGGGGGGUCUGACCCCCUCCGUGCCGGAGUUAACACAAUAAGUAAUCCACCUGGGAAGUACGACCGCAAGGUUGAAACUCAAAGGAAUUGACGGGGGCCCGCACAAGCAGUGGAGUAUGUGGUUUAAUUCGAAGCAACGCGAAGAACCUUACCAGGUCUUGACAUCUACCGAAUCCGGCAGAGAUGCUGGAGUGCCCUUCGGGGAACGGUAAGACAGGUGG